rnacentral:rRNA from 1 species
AGGGGUGAUCGGCCCACAUUGGGACUGAGACCACCGGCCCAAACUCCUACGGGAGGCAGCAGUAGGGGAAUCUUUCGGCAAUGGACGAAAGUCUGACCGAGCAACGCCGCGUGAGUGAAGAAGGUUUUCGGAUCGUAAAACUCUGUUGUUAGAGAAGAACAAGGAUGAGAGUAACUGUUCAUCCCUUGACGGUAUCUAACCAGAAAGCCACGGCUAACUACGUGCCAGCAGCCGCGGUAAUACGUAGGUGGCAAGCGUUGUCCGGAUUUAUUGGGCGUAAAGCGAGCGCAGGCGGUUUCUUAAGUCUGAUGUGAAAGCCCCCGGCUCAACCGGGGAGGGUCAUUGGAAACUGGGAGACUUGAGUGCAGAAGAGGAGAGUGGAAUUCCAUGUGUAGCGGUGAAAUGCGUAGAUAUAUGGAGGAACACCAGUGGCGAAGGCGGCUCUCUGGUCUGUAACUGACGCUGAGGCUCGAAAGCGUGGGGAGCAAACAGGAUUAGAUACCCUGGUAGUCCACGCCGUAAACGAUGAGUGCUAAGUGUUGGAGGGUUUCCGCCCUUCAGUGCUGCAGCUAACGCAUUAAGCACUCCGCCUGGGGAGUACGACCGCAAG